UACGGAGGGUGCAAACGUUGCUCGGAAUCAUUGGGCGUAAAGCGCACGUAGGCGGUCUUUUAAGUCGGAUGUGAAAGCCCCAGGCUCAACCUGGGAAGUGCAUCGGAAACUGAAAGGCUAGAGUACGGAAGAGGGUCUCGGAAUUCCCGGUGUAGAGGUGAAAUUCGUAGAUAUCAGGAGGAACACCAAUGGCGAAGGCAGCUCGCUGGGACGUGACUGACGCUGAGACGCGAAAGCGUGGGGAGCAAACAGG
rnacentral:rRNA from 1 species